rnacentral:rRNA from 1 species
GACGUAGGGCGCGAGCGUUGUCCGGAUUUAUUGGGCGUAAAGAGCUCGUAGGCGGCUUGUCGCGUCGUCCGUGAAAACCUGCGGCUACCAACGUGCAGGCUGGCGGUCGAUACGGGCAGGGCUGGAGUUCGGUAGGGGAGACUGGAAUUCCUGGUGUGAGCGGUGGAAAUGACGCAGAUAUCAGGAGGAACACCGGUGGCGAAGGCGGGUCUCUGGGCCGAUACUGACGUGAGGAGCGAAAGCGUGGGGAGCGAACAGG